AAAGAAUUGCAUGUUUGGUCACACACACACACUGUUGUUCACUUUUGCGUUCUUUUCUUUUUUUUUUUUUUACGUUGUGCGUAUGGAUUGUUUUCUGUGUGUGUUCAAAAGAAGAAGAAAGAAAAUGGGGGAAAUGAAAGAGAGAGAAAAGA
rnacentral:ribozyme from 1 species